rnacentral:lncRNA from 1 species
AAUGACAGCCAUUCUAACAGAAUUCUGGGAAUGGGGAGCAUCCCACCUUCCCACGUGUCCUUGUGCUCCUGAGGGCACCGGAGGAGUGACCCCUACAGGAGCCCCUGUGGCAAGGGGAGGUGUUCUCUACCCAAACCCCUCACCUCUUGAGAGCAUAUUAUUCUCGGUGCCUCUCUCUCCUGUCCCCAGGUCAGAGACUAUUCCGGAAAUCAAGGUCAUAGUGAUUAUUAAUAUCCAUUCAAGAAGCACUUGCUGUGAACAUGUACUAUAUACCUAGGUCUGUACUAAAGAAAAUGCUUGCUGAUCCCUGCUGUCUUCUAUUACUGGAGAUUCUAAAUGCCUAGUAUAUAUUCAAAAGUCUGAAAAAUUCUGCAGUCAGAAAAAUCUAGGUAAUUUCUUUGCCUCAUUUUUCCCCAAAAUAUUUGAUCAUAGAACCCUCUUCCAACACACAUUUUUAUAAAUUGAUUUAUAGACAUUGCCCCUGGAUGAAAUGCCCACCCCUGAAGGUUGUCCUUCUCUGCCUGAUUUCAAUUUGGUCACCAUUCUGGCCUUCUGUCCUGUGGCUGGACUUCCCUAGCUAAACCUAGCUCCUCUCUCAGCCUCUUUGAAAAUAACCUUCCACCAGGCAUGAAGGCUGGGAUUCUCCUCCACUCCAAUGAGACGUUUCUCUUUCCAGGA